rnacentral:misc_RNA from 1 species
GAAAUGCGAUAAGUAAUGUGAAUUGCAGAAUUCAGUGAAUCAUCGAAUCUUUGAACGCACCUUGCGCUCCUUGGUAUUCCUUGGAGCAUGCCUGUUUGAGUAUCAUGAAAUCUUCAAAGUAAAUCUUUUGUUAACUCAAUUGGUUUCUACUUUGGUAUUGGAGGUCUUUGCAGCUUCACACCUGCUCCUCUUUGUUCAUUAGCUGGAUCUCAGUGUUAUGCUUGGUUCCACUCGGCGUGAUAAGUUAUCUAUCGCUGAGGACACUGUAAAAGGUGGCCAAGGUAAAUGCAGAUGAACCGCUUCUAAUAGUCCAUUGACUUGGACAAUACUUUUAUGAUCUGAUCUCAAAUCAGGUAGGCCUACCCGCUUAACUUAAGC